rnacentral:rRNA from 1 species
UAGGGAAUCUUCCACAAUGGGCGAAAGCCUGAUGGAGCAACGCCGCGUGUGUGAUGAAGGCUUUCGGGUCGUAAAGCACUGUUGUAUGGGAAGAACAGCUAGAAUAGGAAAUGAUUUUAGUUUGACGGUACCAUACCAGAAAGGGACGGCUAAAUACGCGCCAGCAGCCGCGGUAAUACGUAUGUCCCGAGCGUUAUCCGGAUUUAUUGGGCGUAAAGCGAGCGCAGACGGUUUAUUAAGUCUGAUGUGAAAGCCCGGAGCUCAACUCCGGAAUGGCAUUGGAAACUGGUUAACUUGAGUGCAGUAGAGGUAAGUGGAGCUCCAUGUGUAGCGGUGGAAUGCGUAGAUAUAUGGAAGAACACCAGUGGCGAAGGCGGCUUACUGGACUGCAACUGACGUUGAGGCUCGAAAGUGUGGGUAGCAAACAGGAUUAGAUACCCUGGUAGUCCACACCGUAAACGAUGAACACUAGGUGUUAGGAGGUUUCCGCCUCUUAGUGCCGAAGCUAACGCAUUAAGUGUUCCGCCUGGGGAGUACGACCGCAAGGUUGAAAC